rnacentral:rRNA from 1 species
GACGAACGCUGGCGGCGUGCUUAACACAUGCAAGUCGAACGGAAAGGCCCUGCUUUUGUGGGGUGCUCGAGUGGCGAACGGGUGAGUAACACGUGAGUAACCUGCCCUUGACUUUGGGAUAACUUCAGGAAACUGGGGCUAAUACUGGAUAGGAGCUCCUGCUGCAUGGUGGGGGUUGGAAAGUUUCGGCGGUUGGGGAUGGACUCGCGGCUUAUCAGCUUGUUGGUGGGGUAGUGGCUUACCAAGGCUUUGACGGGUAGCCGGCCUGAGAGGGUGACCGGCCACAUUGGGACUGAGAUACGGCCCAGACUCCUACGGGAGGCAGCAGUGGGGAAUAUUGCACAAUGGGCGGAAGCCUGAUGCAGCAACGCCGCGUGCGGGAUGAAGGCCUUCGGGUUGUAAACCGCUUUCGCCUGUGACGAAGCGUGAGUGACGGUAAUGGGUAAAGAAGCACCGGCUAACUACGUG